CAGUAGCCGCGGGAAUACGGAGGGUGCAAGCGUUAAUCGGAAUUACUGGGCGUAAAGCGCACGCAGGCGGUCUGACAAGUCAGAUGUGAAAUCCCCGGGCUUAACCUGGGAACUGCAUUUGAAACUGUCAGGCUGGAGUCUUGUAGAGGGGGGUGGAAUUCCAGGUGUAGCGGUGAAAUGCGUAGAGAUCUGGAGGAAUACCGGUGGCGAAGGCGGCCCCCUGGACAAAGACUGACGCUCAGGUGCGAAAGCGUGGGGAGCAAACAGGAUUAGAUACCCAGUAGUCCCUGUCUCUUAUACA
rnacentral:rRNA from 1 species